rnacentral:rRNA from 1 species
UACGUAGGGUGCGAGCGUUGUCCGGAAUUAUUGGGCGUAAAGAGCUUGUAGGCGGUCUGUCGCGUCUGCUGUGAAAAUCCGGGGCUCAACCCCGGACUUGCAGUGGGUACGGGCAGACUAGAGUGUGGUAGGGGAGACUGGAAUUCCUGGUGUAGCGGUGAAAUGCGCAGAUAUCAGGAAGAACACCCGUGGCGAAGGCGGGUCUCUGGGCAGUAACUGACGCUGAGGAGCGAAAGCGUGGGGAGCGAACAGG